rnacentral:lncRNA from 1 species
CUCUCUAUAUAGCUUCAUGUAGAGAGAGAGAGGAGCUCUACUGCUGUAUCUCUUCCUCUUCCUCACUCUUUCAACCGAUUAAGGCAAGGGAGCUCGGGUGAAGAAUUUUGUCGCCGACGUCGCGCCGCGAAGCCGUUCGAGCUCGUGUUUAACGCCGGGGUAACGCGAGGAGGCCGGGCGAGCGUAGGUUUUCACCGUUCUUGCUGUCGCACCGGUGCUUGGCGUUGUCGAGGUGGG